AAUUUUGGUCAAUGGGGGAAACCCUGAUCCAGCCAUCCCGCGUGUAUGAUGAAGGCCNNNGGGUUNUAAAGUACUUUUGGCAGNGAANAAAAGUUAUCUCCUAAUACGAGAUACUACUGACGGUAUCUGCUGACAAAGCACCGGCUAACUACGUGCCAGCAGCCGCGGUAAUACGUAGGGUGCAAGCGUUAAUCGGAAUUACUGGGCGUAAAGCGUGUGCAGGCGGGUCGGAACGAACGAUGUGCAAUCCCAGGGCUCAACCUUGGAACUGCAUUUUUAACUGCCGAGCUAGAGUAUGUCAGAGGGGGGUAGAAUUCCACGUGUAGCAGUGAAAUGCGUAGAUAUGUGGAGGAAUACCGAUGGCGAAGGCAGCCCCCUGGGAUAAUACUGACGCUCAGACACGAAAGCGUGGGGAGCAAACAG
rnacentral:rRNA from 1 species